UGUGGUAGCGGCGUGCACUAGCUGGUGGCCAGUGGCCGCGCCUACUCCAUCGCCUUCUCCUCCCUUUUCUUUCCCGUGGUGAUGAUGAGCAAGGGGGGGACGUGUUGUAUGUGGCGUCAAGAGUCGUUGUUUCGUGUCGUCUAUAUCUCUCCGCGCGCGCUUUUGGAGCUUUCCGGUGAGUUUUGGUGCAUAGUAGGAGCAGAGGAGCAGUGUGGUCUGUGGGCUGUGGCGGUAGCUAGGCAGUUUUCAGGGGAGAGCUUUGCUGGUCGCUGUGCAUUGAAGAGUUGGAACUACUAGUAACCUGUGCUGUCUGUGCUGCUUGCUCGGUUCGAGGGUAAGGUGUGGUGGUGUGGCGGGGAGGGGGUUUGUGCGGCUGGGAGGCGGCUACCGAAGCUGGGCGAGAAAUUAAAGCAGCGAAGGCCCCGCGAUUUUAAAGCGGGUUUGUGUGGCUCGCUGCUCGCCGCUACUGUGUUCCUCUCGCGUCGCCUCGUCUCCCUCUUGCCACCAAGUUCAGGGGUUCAGGUCAGGUCGCUGCCGCGGCUCUCCAGAUCCUUAUCUCCUUGCUUGGAGUGGAGUGCUUUGCUCUGCCAUUCGGAGCCUGGAUGGGGUCUCGGCAGCAGCGGGUGGAGGCGGAGGGCGCGCCGAAUCGGAGGUGAUCUGGCCAUGGGGUAGCCUGGGUGGGUUGGGUGGGUGGGUGGGUGCGCGGCGGGUAUGGAGGGCUCCCGUGUCGACGCCGUCGCGGGCGGGCGGCGGUGGGGGGAAGGGGAGGAGGGUGGACGACGCGGAGGAGGAGGAGGAGGAGGAGGAGGAGGAGGAGGAACAGGAGGUGGUGGUGGUGGUGGAGGGAGGAGAGGCGGGGAGGACGGGGGUGAGGUGAGCCUGCGGGAGUGGCUGGACCGGCCAGGGCGGGCGGUGGAGGCGCCGGAGUGCCUGCACGUGUUCCGCCAGGUGGCGGAGUCGGUGGCCAUCGCGCACGCGCAGGGGGUGGCCGUCGGCAGCGCGCGCCCUUCCUGCUUCGUCGUGUCGCCGCCCUUCGCCCGCGUCGCGUUCAUCGAGUCCGCCUCCGGCUCCGACGUCUCGGGCUCCUGCUCCGGCUCCGACGGCUCGGAGGAGGCCGACCCGGAACCCUCGCCUCCUCGGCGGCGACGGGACGGCGCCAGCGGUGGGGAGGACCGCGGCGGGAAGACGUUCCCGCUGAGGAGCGUGCUGGCGAUGGAGCUCACCUGGUACACCAGCCCCGAGGAGGCCGACGACCGCGGCGGCGCUACUUUCGCCUCCGACGUGUAUAGGUUAGGAGUGCUCUUGUUCGAGUUGUUCUGUACGUUCGAGACGAUGGAGGAGAAGAUGCGAGCAAUGGCGAACCUACGGCACCGCGUCUUGCCUCCACAGCUGCUGCUCAAGUGGCCCAAGGAAGCAUCAUUCUGUCAGUUGUUGAUGCACCCUGUGCCGGAGACCCGACCGAAGAUGAGUGAUGUGCUACAAAGUGAGUUCCUUAAUCGGUCAAGAAAUAGUCUGGAGGAGCGUGAAGCAGCACUUCGGUUACGCGAAGAGAUAGAAGAACAAGAAUUACUGCUGGAUUUUCUUCUCCAACUACAGAGAAGAAAGCAAGAUAUAGCAGACAAUUUGCAGGACACAGUUGCAUUUCUCUCUUCUGACAUCAAUGAAGCGCACCAGCAGUCAGCUCUGGGGCAGUGUGGAAACUUCUCAUUUGAGUUGGAUAAAGAGGUGUGCUCUGAAACAGUUGAAGAUCAGAGUGAUUGUGGAUCCAGAAAACGUUUCCGACCUGAGCUACCAGCUGUUGAUAUGGAGGAACAGAAUCGUAGUCUUGAAGAAUGUUCGGGAACAGUUCCAUCAUCUGUGCUGAUCCAGGAAAGUGUGUUGUCUAAAAGCUCCAGACUGAUGAAGAACUUCAAAAAACUUGAAACAGCAUACUUUCUCACAAGAUCCAAGUUGGCAAAGCAAGUUGGGAAUCCUGUAAGCAGUUGCCAUCAAGUCGUGAAAAGGACUACUGGGUCACCUGUUGUGACUGAGGGAAGUUCAAUAGAUGAUUUUGCUUUGGAAGGGCAUUAUGGUACAAGGCAAAGAGGUUGGAUGAACUCUUUUCUUGAGGGAUUGUGUAGUUACUUAUCGUUCAGUAAGUUGAAAGUUAAGGCAGAACUGAAGCAAUGUGAUCUGCUGAACUCAUCAAACUUAGUAUGCUCUGUAGGCUUCGACCGGGAUAAAGAGUUCUUUGCAACUGCUGGUGUAAAUAAGAAGAUAAAAGUGUUUGAAUAUAAUAUGAUUGUAAAUGAACAUUGUGAUAUUCACUAUCCUGUGGUUGAGAUGUCUAAUAGAUCAAAAUUAAGUUGUAUUUGCUGGAACAGCUACAUGAAGAGCCAUAUAGCAUCUAGCGACUUUGAAGGUAUUGUACAGGUUUGGGAUGUUACUAGGAGCCAAGUUUUUGUUGAAAUGAGGGAACAUGAGAGGCGUGUGUGGUCGGUGGACUUCUCACUUGCGGACCCAACAAAAUUGGUUAGCGGGAGUGAUGAUGGUUCAGUGAAGCUGUGGAAUAUGAAUCAGGCAAUUUUAUUCUUGCACCUGGUGCUGGGAGUGUUGGCACUAUCAGAACAAGAGCAAAUGUAUGCUCUGUGCAGUUUCAACCUGAUUCUGCUCGUUCCAUUGCAAUUGGAUCAGCAGAUCACAAAAUUUACUGCUAUGAUCUUCGAAACAUACGAGCUCCUUAUUGUACGUUAGUUGGCCACACAAAAACAGUUAGCUAUGUUAAGUAUGUGGAUGCAUCAACUAUAGUGUCCGCAUCUACUGACAACUCCUUGAAGCUCUGGGACUUGUCCAUGAGUCAGGCAAGGAUAAUUGACAGUCCGCUUCGGACAUUUACAGGUCAUACAAACACUAAGAAUUUUGUUGGACUUUCUAUAUCUGAUGGUUACAUUGCUACUGGCUCAGAGACAAAUGAGGUUUUUGUCUACCACAAAGCAUUUCCAAUGCCAGUCUUGGCAUAUAAAUUCAGUGUCACAGACCCAAUAUCAGGCCAGGAGAUUGACGAUCCAUCACAGUUCAUUUCAUGCGUGUGUUGGAGAGGGCAGUCCUCAACGCUUCUUUCUGCUAAUUCCAGCGGGAACAUUAAAAUCUUAGAAAUGGACUGACCGUGCACAAAUGGGCAGCUUGUGCGCGUCCAGUUUCCAAUAGAAAUGAACUGACUUGACACCCAAGGGAAUGCGCGUGCCCGGGGCUAGCAUAGUGCAUUGGAAGUUUGCCUUCAAAUGCAGAGAGGUCUAUAGGGCGCGAUGUAACUUUAUUAGAGUUGGAGUUAGGAGGUUGAUAGGACAGAGUGGUAGCUGUACCAGAGUUAGCAUAGGAUUAGAUAGAAAACGUAGCAUAAAUAGGGAAAGUAUUUGUGACGCAGGGGAUCCAAGAGGGGUUUUGUACAUCAUUGGUUUGAGGUAUACUUAUAUAGGCAAUCAAUCCAAGCUUCAGUCAUUGCUAUUCUUGUUUUGAAA